rnacentral:rRNA from 1 species
GACGAACGCUGGCGGCGUGCUUAACACAUGCAAGUCGAACGGAAAGGCCCUGCUUUUGUGGGGUGCUCGAGUGGCGAACGGGUGAGUAACACGUGAGUAACCUGCCCUUGACUUUGGGAUAACUUCAGGAAACUGGGGCUAAUACCGGAUAGGAGCUCCUGCUGCAUGGUGGGGGUUGGAAAGUUUCGGCGGUUGGGGAUGGACUCGCGGCUUAUCAGCUUGUUGGUGGGGUAGUGGCUUACCAAGGCCUUGACGGGUAGCCGGCCUGAGAGGGUGACCGGCCACAUUGGGAAUGAGAUACGGCCCAGACUCCUACGGGAGGCAGCAGUGGGGAAUAUUGCACAAUGGGCGGAAGCCUGAUGCAGCAACGCCGCGUGCGGGAUGACGGCCUUCGGGGUGUAAACCGCUUUCGCCUGUGACGAAGCGUGAGUGACGGUAAUGGGUAAAGAAGCACCGGCUAACUACG